ACCAAAUUUUAUAUUUCCAUAAAAGAAUUCAUAACUUUUUAGCAACUAAACAAUUAUUGCUCAUUGGUUCUAAGUAACAAAAUUCUCUUCGAUAAUGAAUUGACCACUAUUUCUCCCACUUUAUGCUAAUUAGUCCAAUUUUUAUUUCUUUGGGGUCUAUGGAGACAUUUCUGGGGCACAUUCGGGGCAGUUUUGGGUCAGGGGAGGGAAUUCAGAGAGAACUUCAGGGUCUGGAGGACGCUUGGGGGAGCCGGGUGAGCACUGGGAGGGGCACUUAGGGAUUCUGUGGGACGAUUCGGGGUCCGGGGCAGCACCUGGGGGUCCAGGGGGGCACUUGGAGGUCAGGGAGGGGAUUCUGUGGGACGAUUCGGGGUCCGGGCGGGCACUUGGGGGGCUCUACCAGGGCUCUCUGGGCCGCGGGGGAUGAUGGGAGUUGUAGGCGCGGGUAUAAUACGGUGUAACGGCACCGCGGAGCAUCACGGGCGUUCCAGGCACAGCUCCAAUGGCUCUCGGUGGGGCGCGGGGCAUGACGGGAGGUGGAGUCACAGCUGGAAUAGCGCUCUAUGUACGCCGCGGAGCAUGAUGGGAGCUGUAGUCCCAGGAGUGGCUCGGAAGGGGCCCAUGGGGGUCCGGGAAGGCCCUUGGGGGACACUUUUGUGUCCGAGCCGUGGCUGGAGGUCCUCGGGGGGAACGUGUACGGCUCGGGAGCACUUGGAGUGAGCCUCGGGAGCUCUAAGCGGGCUCUUUACGGCGCGGGGCACGGCAGGCCCUUGUGUCAUCCUCCUCCUCAGGGCUGGGGACGCCAUUCUGGGGAGCAGUGGCGGUGAUCUCCCGACGGGACAGGGACAUGACAGCAAAGGGUAAG